rnacentral:sRNA from 1 species
CUCAGUAUAUGAAUAUAUUUAUUUUAUUACCUAUAUAUAGGUAAAGUCAUUGGGGCAAUGUGUGCGUUAUCAGGUGUACUUGCCAUCGCCUUGCCUGUCCCCGUCAUUGUUAGCAAC